rnacentral:rRNA from 1 species
CCCAGACAGCCAGGAUGUUGGCUUAGAAGCAGCCAUCAUUUAAAGAAAGCGUAAUAGCUCACUGGUCGAGUCGGCCUGCGCGGAAGAUGUAACGGGGCUAAACCAUGCACCGAAGCUGCGGCAGCGACACUGUGUGUUGUUGGGUAGGGGAGCGUUCUGUAAGCCUGUGAAGGUGGCCUGUGAGGGUUGCUGGAGGUAUCAGAAGUGCGAAUGCUGACAUAAGUAACGAUAAAGCGGGUGAAAAGCCCGCUCGCCGGAAGACCAAGGGUUCCUGUCCAACGUUAAUCGGGGCAGGGUGAGUCGACCCCUAAGGCGAGGCCGAAAGGCGUAGUCGAUGGGAAACGGGUUAAUAUUCCCGUACUUGGUGUUACUGCGAAGGGGGGACGGAGAAGGCUAUGUUGGCCGGGCGACGGUUGUCCCGGUUUAAGCGUGUAGGCUGGUUUUCCAGGCAAAUCCGGAAAAUCAAGGCUGAGGCGUGAUGACG